AAACCAAAACAAAUAUUUAGUUCCACAGCAACUUAAGAAAAGAUGAAUGAAGCAAAUCUUAUAUUUUCCAUCGAAAUAUGUCGAAUGAAUGCAGGCAUUAUUUUGCAAUCAUGAAAACCAAAACGCUGCAAGAUAAAUGAAAUGAGUGAAAACAAGGUGACAUAAAAUAAAUAUACAUACUUGGCCAGAAAAAAAAUUACACAAGACAAUAAUGAGUAGUUUGCCACGAAGUUCACAAAAUGAAUCUGAGCAAGGCUUAGUUGCAGAGUAUUUAGGGAAACCAAGAACAGAAAGAGUUGAGAAUCAGUGGCUUGGAAAGUUACUAAACUAGCAAACAACUGAUGCGUAAGAGAGUUCUCAAAAUGAGCCACAGCAAGAAACAAGUAAUCAAGAAUGAAAAUAGAAAAGGUACCCUGAAGGAAGGCUGGUAAUCAGCAGGAGCUCCACUCUUAUCACCAAACUCUCCACCAGAUCUAGGUCCUCCACGGUAUCCAUCUUUGUCACCACCAAACCUCCUCUCUCCAUCAGAACGAGGUGGGCCACUGUAAAAAACCAUAUCAAAUCAAUCACAAAACAGUGAAAAACUAGACAAGUAACUUCUUCUACUUCAUCUAGUUCAUGUGCAACCUACUGAUGAUUCUAUUCCUAAUUCCAGGAGAGUGAAAAUGACAUUUUGAAAUGUUAAAGUGGAUGCUAUACCGGGGACGGUCACCCAUGGGACGACCAAGAGGCUUCUGCUGCUUCUUCAAAGUGGCGGGAACAAUCUCUGAAGGGAGGUUGAGGUAAGUCCUUAAAAAGUCAAUGCCUUCGUUAGUGAGGAACCAG